CGCGCAGGUGGUUGAUUAAGUCUGAUGUGAAAGCCCACGGCUUAACCGUGGAGGGUCAUUGGAAACUGGUCGACUUGAGUGCAGAAGAGGGAAGUGGAAUUCCAUGUGUAGCGGUGAAAUGCGUAGAGAUAUGGAGGAACACCAGUGGCGAAGGCGGCUUCCUGGUCUGUAACUGACACUGAGGCGCGAAAAGCGUGGGGGAGCAAACA
rnacentral:rRNA from 1 species